UGGGGAAUUUUGGACAAUGGGCGCAAGCCUGAUCCAGCCAUGCCGCGUGCGGGAAGAAGGCCUUCGGGUUGUAAACCGCUUUUGUCAGGGAAGAAAUCUUCUGAGUUAAUACCUCGGGAGGAUGACGGUACCUGAAGAAUAAGCACCGGCUAACUACGUGCCAGCAGCCGCGGUAAUACGUAGGGUGCAAGCGUUAAUCGGAAUUACUGGGCGUAAAGCGUGCGCAGGCGGUUUUGUAAGACAGAGGUGAAAUCCCCGGGCUCAACCUGGGAACUGCCUUUGUGACUGCAAGGCUUGAGUGCGGCAGAGGGGGAUGGAAUUCCGCGUGUAGCAGUGAAAUGCGUAGAUAUGCGGAGGAACACCGAUGGCGAAGGCAAUCCCCUGGGCCUGCACUGACGCUCAUGCACGAAAGCGUGGGGAGCAAACAGGAUUAGAUACCCUGGUAGUCCACGCCCUAAACGAUGUCAACUGGUUGUUGGGAAGGUUCCUUCUCAGUAACGUAGCUAACGCGUGAAGUUGACCGCCUGGGGAGUACGGCCGCAAGGUUGAAACUUAAAGGAAUUGACGGGGUCAUAGCUGUUUCCUG
rnacentral:rRNA from 1 species